UUUCUCUGAUUGACUUAUUUUGCUUAGCAAAAUAUUUUGCUUAGCUGGCUCCAUCCAUGUCAAUGCAAAUGGUAAGAUUUCAUUCUUGUUGAUUAGCCUAGCCCACCUUAAAUGUGCUCAGAACAGCCUACAGUUGGGUAAAAUCAUCUAAAACAAAGUCUAUUUUAUAAUAAAGUGUUGAAUAUCCUAUGUAAUUUAUUGAAUACUGUACCGAAAGUGAAAAACAAUGGUUGUACGGGUACAGAAUGGUUAUAUCAGUUAUUUACUUUCAUGGUCAUGUGGCUGACGGGGAGCUGUGGCUUGCUGCCACUGCCCAGCAUCACAAGGGAGUGCAGCACCACAUACCCCUAGCCCAGGAAAAGAUUAAAAAUGCAAAAUUUAAAGUAUGGUUUUCUACUGAAUGUGUAUUGGUUUUGCACCAUCAUAACAUCAAAAGUGGUAAGUCAAUCCAUUUUAAAUUGGGGACCUCCUAUCUGUAUGUGAAUAAGUAUAAGCGUAUGCUUAGCUUUACCCUAAAACUAGAGCAUCUACUUCAUGUUACCUUCUUUAAAUUUGUUUACUAUCCAGUCUAGCUGAUCCAGUACACUGCGGAAAGUACCCAUAUGAUCGAGGACUUCUUCUGUUAUAGAAUUCAGGAUCUAUAUCAUAAAAGUGCAAGAGGAAAGAAGCCAUUGAUGACAACAUGAAUGGAAUCUUGCAGCACAGUGGUUCGAAACCUUUCUAGUAAAUCUCUUUUAGAACCCAAACCAAAAAGCACAAUGUUGAACCCCAGGCUGUUAGGAAAGAUAGCAUUCAUGAAAUUAAAGUUCAGUACCUCUUACUUAAUUUUUUAGAAUUAACUAGUUUAAGUUUCUAAAAAAUACAGAAAGAACUAGGAUGACUAAAGAACUACAUUGAUUCUCAACUUAUACAAGGUAAAAGCGCAAUUUUAUUAUUAUCUGUACACCAAACUUACAAGUCCAGCAUCAGUAACUUUCUCUCCAGCUCUUAUUAUCUUUCAGGUGAUGGACGGCUGGAGGCAAGGGAGAACAACAGGAGGCACAAGGCACUAAACAGUUGUACAGGUUGAAGCUGAGUUUUAAUAGAUUAAAUAGGAAAAGUAAGCAGAGGCCAAAUCACAAAGGUCUUGUUAAGUCAACUAAGACAUUAGAUUUUAUUUAAAGGACAAUGACCAUUUAACAGUUAACUAGUCAGGUGUUAACUGAAAGGUUUUAAGUAGGAAAGUAGCAUGAUAUUUUCACCCUGGCUGAAUAGGGCGAAUGCACAGAAGAAGGGGAAAACUGCCAAAGAUGAUGAGCUUGAAUUAGGUGUUAUGGAGAAAAAUAGAAGUUAUCAAGAGCUUUACAUGCCAAAUCAAUAGGAUUUGGAGAGUGAUUAGAUGUAGAAGGUGAGAGAAAGGGAAUAUUUCAAAAUAACUUGGUUUUUUUUGGCCUAGGCAACUAUGUGGAUGAAGUGACUUUCACUGUGCCAGGCUGCAGGGGCAGGUAGCAAUGAGGGGUUUAAGAGGAGUUAAAUUUUAUAUAUACUGAAUUAUUUACAGGACAUCAACAUGGAAACCCUGCAAUAUACACUGAUGUACCUGUAUAUGCUGCUGAGGAGUGAGAUCUGGGCUGGCCUGGAGAAAUCAUGGGAGUUAUUCACAUGCAAAAAGCAACCAAAGCCCAGAGAGUGAAUGAGAAGAAUUAGAACACCAAGCACCUAGGGGUCAAGCUAAAACUCAACUCCAUGAUUGUUUAUAGAAGUCUAUCAGAAACAGUAUUUAUGUGAUGCUCUAUAGCAAUGCAGGGGAGCCUAGGAUAGAAGAAAAACAAUAACCCCCAAAGUAGAGAUAGAUGGUGCAAGGUAGCAGCACCAGAAAAAAAAGUAAGGGAAUUCAGAGAGUCGACAAUUCUGUUAAGUAGCUGAAUGAGGUAUAGGCUGGGAAUCAAAGUCAAACAAGUUAUCAGAGUUGACAUACUGGAAGGAGGAACUGGUGGAUGCUGCGGGAUGGGAUCAGAGUGAAGAGCUACUUUACAAAUUUAUAAUGAACAGAUCUAUAAAAAGUUAUUAGGAGAAGCUGAGGUCCUAGCAAUGAAGAUAGGCAUAACCCUUUGAUGUAUUACUGGCAAAAGAAAGCCAGGAUCAAUUGAGGAAAAUUGUGUCAAUUUCUAGUUUUACUGCUUGGUGGACCUGACUUCUUAUUUAUCCCUAUGACUAUGUAACUGUGAGUAUACAUGUACAAUACCAUACAUUUUAAGCACUUCCUUAUACUAAGAUCCUUUUUAAUAAAAGUGUAAAAGUAAUUAUAGUAAAAAAAAAAAAGUUUUCAUUUUAAUCAUUGUUCUAAUUGUUUUAAUUGGAAUUUGAAAUUUAACCUGAGGUAUCUGAAAAAUGGUAAAAUUCAAAAAAUAUUCAUAGAAAUAAUUUUAAAAUGGUAAAAUGAUAUUUAUAGGACAGAUAAAAACCUGAAGAUCUAUAGCACAUGAAUACAGAAUAAGAUUAAAAUAUAUAUAUAUAUUCUUUUUAGAAACUGUGCUGUGGAAAACUGGGUUAAAAUCUAACUGAGGGGCACCUGCGUGGCUCAGGUGGUUAAGUGUCCGAAUCUUGAUUUCAGUUCAGGUCAUGAUCCCAGGGAUAUGGGACUGAGCCCCACAUGGGGGCUCCACAUGGAACGUGGAGCCUGCUUAAGAUUCUCUCUUUCUCUCUCUAACCCUCCCCUGCGCUCUCUCUUAAAAACAAAGAAAAAAAUCUAAUUGAUAUAUCUUAUCAGUCUUGACAGAUUAGAUUUUUCAAUAUUUUUACAAGUAAUAACAAUUCUAAUAAAGGCUAUUUUACCAAUGGC